ACACAGGUGUAUACAUUUGUCAAGACCGUGCACUUAAAAUGAAUUCUCUGCCUGGAAAUUAUACCUUGAUGUAACAAAUAAUCUAAUUUGUAAAUAAAUUUUUAAGAAAAAAACCACUCCAGCACAGCAUUCUGCAAAUAGCCAUUGGAAAAUCCUGUCAACUCUCCUUUCCAAGUGACUCUGAAAUCCGGCCACUUCUCACACCCCCCUGCUACUAGGCGGUAGCCUGAGCCACUGUUGUCUCUCGUCCUGGAUUUUCAUAAUGGCUGCCACGCUGGUCUCUCUCUGUCCGUGCGCCUCUGUCCAUUCCUAGCUCACUAAUCACAGGGAUUCUGUCCAAAUGUAAUAAAGUCAAAAAUCACGACACUGUUCUGCCUCUUCUCAUUCAGAGGAAAAGCUGAAGUCCUUAGUGAUCCACAGACCUAACCUGAUCUCAUCCCCAUCGCUCCUCUGUCCUCACAUCCCUCCAUUCCUCCUUUCCCUCACUCCACUCUGGCCACAGAGUCCUCCUUAUUGUUCCUCCCGUUCCAUGAGCCAUGCCCCUGCUUCGGGGCCUUUCUGUUUGCUGCUCACUCUGCCUGAAACAGUCUUCCUCCAGAAAUCUGCACAGCUCACUCCCAGAGAGGUAUUUAAUGGUUCCUAUAAGACUCACCCAAGGUGACAAAGCUAAUAAAUAUACCAAAACUCCCAUCCAUGUCCAGCUGUGCUCCUUACUGUGCUCAGAAGAAAGAAGAAAAACAAAUAUGUGAGAGGAGAAAGUGAACAAGAAUGGAGCAGAGAAGAUGGUGAACUGGGAGAAAGACAGAAGACAUCUAAUCUCUGGGUUGGACACGUUAGUGAAAUUAAAUCAACCAAUCUACCUUUAGCUUAAAGUUGGCGUGAGAUGGGCUGACAUGGUCCCUUUAAGCCCAAGAGAAACUGAGAUUGCUCUUGGCCACCAGCUGGGGAGGAAACGGCCAGGCUAUAUUAGGAAACUUACAAGCAAGUGGCAAGAGGCACAGACACCCAGGGGAGACUGGGAGUGACGGGGCCCUGGGAAGGGGGAAAAGCCAAGUGCUGGGGCCAUCCCCAGCCUGACUCUCUCUAAGACAGGACAGCUCUCCCUGGGGACUGGAAGAACGCAGCAUCUGCAUCUGAAGAGAGGGAAAAGGAGGACCCUGCCCACAGCCAUCUGGCUAAGAUGAGCUUUCUAUGGAAGGAAGUGCUUCCUGAUCACCUUUGGGCUGGCCCCUCACUUGGCCUUGUAGACUCUACAGGGAUUCUCACUGCCCUCAGGUGAUACCCUUCCAUUCUUCCAGGGGCAGGAAUCACAUUUUCUUUUUUCCUUCAUGACUCAGCACAUGGAAUCUGAGAACAUCCCUUAUGAACUAAAGGUUUGCAAUCCUUCAUCCAGACCUCAGCUCUGAAGGGAGUGGACCAUUUCAGAAACCCAAGGGAAGUCUAGGAGAUCCAGAACCCACUUUGACCCAGAGAAGAGACAUGUGGUCCAGACCAGGGAUUCUGCCUCCAAAUACAGAAUGGACACUGAGAACAUCACCCCCUCUGGCCAGUGACACCUGCCUAUUUCCAGAAAACUGUCUGAGGUCUGAACACCAGUGUCCCUGGAGGACCGAACAGAGAUAGAGAGAGAAGAAUCAGGGCUAACUCCUCUCCUGUGGUCCCCGCUGCCUAUGGAAGUCCUGAUCUGACAGUCCAUUGUCUUCAUGACCUGGUCCCAAUUCACCCUCCUAGUUUUGUCUUCCCAAAUCCACCAAAGCCCAGCUUCAAAGUCAUCUCCUCCACAAAACCUUCCUGGAGUAUCUUUUUUCCUCUAUACUCUCAUUGCUUGAGACAUUUAUCACUUCUUACCUCUUAUACAGCUAUCUCAUCUAUAUCUUGUC